GACGAACCGUGCGAACGUUAUUCGGAAUCACUGGGCUUAAAGGCGCGUAGGCGGGUUGCCAAGUCGGAGGUGAAAGCCUGCAGCUCAACUGCAGAAGUGCCCCCCGAUACUGGUAGUCUCGAGUGAGGUAGGGGCAUGUGGAACUUCCGGUGGAGCGGUGAAAUGCGUAGAUAUCGGAAGGAACGCCGGUGGCGAAAGCGACGUGCUGGACCUCAACUGACGCUGAGGCGCGAAAGCCAGGGGAGCAAACGGG
rnacentral:rRNA from 1 species